rnacentral:rRNA from 1 species
UACGAGUGGCUCAAGCGUUAUCCGGAAUUAUUGGGCGUAAAGGAUGUGUAGGUGGUUUUGCUAGUCGAAUGUCUAACCUCUCGGGCUCAACCUGGAGUCAGCAUUCGAAACGGCAUUGCUAGAGUAUGUUAGGGGUAAGCGGAACUCAUAGUGUAGGGGUGAAAUCCGUUGAUAUUAUGGGGAACACCAAAAGCGAAGGCAGCUUACUGGGACAUUACUGACACUGAAACAUGAAAGCGUGGGUAGCGAAUGGG